rnacentral:lncRNA from 1 species
AUUUCCCUGAAGAGAAGAUUACAUCCUUAUCAACAUCACCUAUUCCUAUGGAAGGUAUAAUUUGUAAUCUUCGAAACAUAUGUUGGAAAU